UCGAAUCAGCCAGACCCCGCCUCCUCUUCCAGAUUUCUAAGCUGCACCCUUUCUCCCCAUAUCGCUCCAGGUAAAUGCUGUCUUCAAAACAGUCCGACAAACACAACCCUUCUCUAGCCCAAUAGAAACAAAGACCUUAGCGCUUCUGACCCUGGGCACAACCCAGCCUCCCUUCCCAGCAGUCCUUGCAAUCACAGACAGAGACCACCAAGGGAUGAGAAAGACACACUGAGAAAGUGUCCUUGUGUCUCCCUGCCGACCCCAUCCCGGGCCCCCGCACUGACCGGUGUGUGCUGCCGCCGAGCUCCACGUACGCGGGACACAUGGGAAGUGCAGGCCGGGCCUGUGGCUCAGUAGCCGCGCGGAGACUCCUCUCAAAGCCAUAUAUAUAGUCGGCGACUGUCGCAGCGAUCGCCACCUGGAAAAGCCGGGCGUCAGCAGAGUCCAGCUUUCUCCCUCCCAGUCCCCCGCUUACCUGGUGCCUGCAGACUGUGCUCGGGACCUGCACACUUGACCUCGGCCUGAUAGGGGUUGCUCAUUGGUUCCUCCUUGGUUCCGCCCAGAACACCCCCCUCCUCCGUGGCUCUGCCUUUUAAAAGGGCCAAGGUAGCAGCCUGCCUUUGGAAGCGGGCUCUUCCUUGCUUAGGCAGGUAGUCCCUUUAAGAAUCCAAACAAGGAAGGGGCGGAAAACGAGUGCACAAGCCCAAUUGGCCAACUGUAUUUCUGCUCCGCCCACCCCAGGUUAGCCAGUUGCCAAGGGCCUGAGGGGUGGGAUCCCAAAGUUCAUUAAGGAAGUCUGGGGGCCAGACCUUGAGAAAUCCGCAAAUGGUGUGCGCGAGGAGAGAAAGUUUCAGUCCAGAGCAUUACAUUCAUGCAGUGGUAAGAAGCACUGAUUUUUUUUCAAAUAUCCAUCCUCCUGAGAAAUGCAAGUGUUCAGCUGAAGUUGUUACCUCCUGUUUGAAUAUAUGAUACCCUAACAGAAAGCCAAAGUCUAGGAAAUGUAAAUGUUAUUUGUGAUAAAUAAAACAUACACAAAUAUAUAUACUAAUGUGUGUAUUAGUAUUAUGUGUAUAUUAUAUAUAGUAGUUAUAUCUGGUUUUGGCCUAUCUUUGAAUUUUUCCAGCAUUUUGAACUGUUCAGAUCUUGAGCCUAUACACAAAGAGGAUUGUGGAACCUUUAAGAAUCUGCAUCUUGUGAGGAUGAGGAAAGCAGACCGGUGUGUUCAGUAUGCUCCGGGUUUUCAGGAAAACUUUUUUUUUUUUUUUCGGUUUUUCGAGACAGGAUUUCUCUAUAUAGUUUUGGUGCCUGUCUUGGAUCUCGCUCUGUAGACCAGGCUGUCUAAAAACAGUGAAGGCCUCAGUGUACCCCAGGAUGCCCCACUGUUCUGCCUUCAGGGCAUAUUCCCAAACAAGGUCUGCUUAUAUGAAAUAUACUCACCCUGCAUUACAAAUUUAUUCUAUUAGUUUCAUAAGAUGAAUUUCAUUAUGUAUUCUCAGACCUUCAUCAUUUGGUUUGUAUAUCUUUUUUGCUUUGAAACCAUGUAGAAACAAUUAGAAUCUAACAGCUUGUAAGGAAAGGCCUGAUACUCAAGUGUGUUUACAUGUGUAUUCACUACUAGGAUUUUAUUUUAUCAUUCAUUCAUUUAGAUACAGGGUCUACCAAUGGAACCCUGGAUGUUCUAGGAUUUGCUUUGCUGACCAACCUGGCCUUGAACUCAAGAGAUCUGGCCGCCUCUGCCUCCCAAGUGCUGAGAUUAAAGGU